rnacentral:tRNA from 1 species
CGGGGAGGGGUCCGGGAUGAAGAAAAACCUAUGGCUGGCAUUCCGACUCUGGAUCAUGCAAUCAAGGUUCGAAUCCUUGCUUCCCAGCCA